GUGGCAGUAGCUCAGUGGCAGAGCUCCCGCUUCGUACGCGUGAAGACCUGGGUUUGGUUCCCGUCUGCUUUC
rnacentral:tRNA from 1 species